rnacentral:rRNA from 1 species
CUUGCUCUAAGGGGAUCAGUGGCGAACGGGUGAGUAACACGUGAGUAACCUGCCCCGGACUCUGGAAUAAGCGCUGGAAACGGCGUCUAAUACCGGAUACGAGACGCAACCGCAUGGUUAGUGUCUGGAAAGUUUUUCGGUCUGGGAUGGACUCGCGGCCUAUCAGCUUGUUGGUGAGGUAAUGGCUCACCAAGGCGACGACGGGUAGCCGGCCUGAGAGGGCGACCGGCCACACUGGGACUGAGACACGGCCCAGACUCCUACGGGAGGCAGCAGUGGGGAAUAUUGCACAAUGGGCGAAAGCCUGAUGCAGCGACGCCGCGUGAGGGAUGACGGCCUUCGGGUUGUAAACCUCUUUCAGCAGGGAAGAAGCGAAAGUGACGGUACCUGCAGAAGAAGCACCGGCUAACUACGUGCCAGCAGCCGCGGUAAUACGUAGGGUGCGAGCGUUGUCCGGAAUUAUUGGGCGUAAAGAGCUUGUAGGCGGUUUGUCGCGUCUGCUGUGAAAAUCCGGGGCUCAACCCCGGACUUGCAGUGGGUACGGGCAGACUAGAGUGUGGUAGGGGAGACUGGAAUUCCUGGUGUAGCGGUGAAAUGCGCAGAUAUCAGGAGGAACACCGAUGGCGAAGGCAGGUCUCUGGGCCACUACUGACGCUGAGAAGCGAAAGCAUGGGGAGCGAACAGGAUUAGAUACCCUGGUAGUCCAUGCCGUAAACGUUGGGCGCUAGGUGUGGGACUCAUUCCACGAGU